UUCCGGUUGAUCCUGCCGGACCCGACUGCUAUCGGAUUGAGAUUUAGCCAUGCGAGUCGAACGUCCUCCUGUUGCGGGGGGCGUGGCGUACGGCUCAGUAACACGUAGUCAACCUGCCCUGGAGACAAGGACAACCCCGGGAAACUGGGAUUAAUCCUUGAUAGGUCAUCUCAUCUGGAAGGAGAGAUGGCUUAAAGGGGUACGCGGGCUUCUUCCGCGAAUCUGCUCCAGGAUGGGACUGCGUCCGAUCAGGCUGUUGGCGGGGUAAUGGCCCACCAAACCUGUAACCGGUACGGGCCUUGAGAGAGGUGGCCCGGAGAUGGACACUGAGAGAAGGGUCCAGGUCCUACGGGGCGCAGCAGGCGCGAAACCUUCGCAAUGCGCGAAAGCGUGACGAGGUUAAUCCGAGUGACUUCCGCUGAGGAGGUCUUUUGUCAGCUGUAAAUAGGCAGGCGAAUAAGGGGAGGGCAAGCCUGGUGUCAGCCGCCGCGGUAAUACCAGCUCCUCGAGUGGUCGGGGCGAUUAUUGGGCCUAAAGCAUCCGUAGCCGGUUCCGUAGGUCCUCUGUUAAAUCCAACCGCUUAACGGUUGACCUGCAGAGGAUACCGCGGGACUAGGAGGCGGGAGAGGCGGACGGUACUCCGCGUGUAGGGGUAAAAUCCUUUGAUCCGCGGAAGACCACCAGUGGCGAAAGCGGUCCGCCAGAACGCGCUCGACGGUGAGGGAUGAAAGCUGGGGGAGCGAACCGGAUUAGAUACCCGGGUAGUCCCAGCCGUAAACGAUGCUAG
rnacentral:rRNA from 1 species